rnacentral:tRNA from 1 species
GGAGGAUUCGCCUAGUGGCCUAGGGCGCACGCUUGGAAAGCGUGUUGGGGGAAACCCCUCACGAGUUCGAAUCUCGUAUCCUCCGCC